UACGAAGGGGGCUAGCGUUGCUCGGAUUGACUGGGCGUAAAGGGCGCGUAGGCGGUUCGUACAGUCAGACGUGAAAUUCCUGGGCUCAACCUGGGGGCUGCGUUUGAUACGUGCGGGCUUGAGUGCGGAAGAGGGUCGUGGAAUUCCCAGUGUAGAGGUGAAAUUCGUAGAUAUUGGGAAGAACACCGGUGGCGAAGGCGGCUCUCUGGACCUGUCCUGACGCUCAGGCGCGAAAGCUAGGGGAGCGAACAGG
rnacentral:rRNA from 1 species